rnacentral:rRNA from 1 species
GCGUAGGGAUCUGCCCAGGAGUGGGGGACAACCACUGGAAACGGUGGCUAAUACCGCAUACGCCCAUGAGAUAUGAUGUUUCAUGGGGAAAGAUUUAUCGCUCCUGGAUGUACCUGCGUCGGAUUAGCUUGUUGGUGAGGUAAUGGCUUACCAAGGCUACGAUCCGUAGCUGGUUUGAGAGGAUGAUCAGCCACACUGGGACUGAGACACGGCCCAGACUCCUACGGGAGGCAGCAGUGGGGAAUAUUGGACAAUGGGCGCAAGCCUGAUCCAGCAAUGCCGCGUGGGUGAAGAAGGUCU